CUAAGGAAAUAGUUUAGGAGGGAUAUGUGUAUGUUUUUUUAGAAUUUACGAUUAAAAUAGAUUAUUUUAAUGUUUUAGAUUAUAUGGUGAAAUCGUAGUUUUAAUUAAAAUAAAAUAUAUUUAUAGGAGUGGUAUAUGUAAAUAAUGGAAUAUGUAUUAGUUAGGGUUUUUUAGAGAAAUAGAAUUACGAGGAGAAUGUUAAUGUUUUUUUGGAUUAUUUCCUUAG
rnacentral:misc_RNA from 1 species